UACCGGCAGCUCGAGUGAUGGCCGAUUUUAUUGGGCCUAAAGCGUCCGUAGCUGGCCCUGCAAGUCCGUCGGGAAAUCCACUCGCCUAACGAGUGGGCGUCCGGCGGAAACUACAGGGCUUGGGACCGGAAGACUUGAAGGGUACGUCUGGGGUGGGAGUGAAAUCCUGUAAUCCUGGACGGACCGCCGAUGGCGAAAGCACUUCACGAGGACGGAUUCGACAGUGAGGGACGAAAGCUAGGGUCUCGAACCGG
rnacentral:rRNA from 1 species